AUCUAUUUUUUACUCGAUUACCCUCAGCCAUGUUUUCCAUUGGGCAAACCCCUCACUUGCCACUAUAUAACCGCGGACCAAAUGACACUCGAGUUACUUGAGAGUUCAUUUUCCACGCGUUACAACGGGCUAGUGUGGGAGACGUCCGCAGCUAUUCUUCUUUAAUUGGCAGAGUGAGUGAAAAAUCCUGAAAGGGCACGGCUUCACCGGGAGGGUAACUACUGGGGAGUUCUGUCCUGCGGCCCGAAUUAAUGCCUGGGUACGCGAAGGUUGCAAC